AAGGUAUCGCUUGCUCUUAAAGCCGUUUGUUUUGGCUUACAUUCAACUUGAGCCAAUGACCAAAUCAAUUCAAUCUCGAUUAUCUUACAUAUGAGCUGUUAGCAACUAUGGUAAACGCCAUGUAUCUAAACGUAGUUGGUGUCUAGUCUACAUUUCGCGUUUGCAAUGACUGCUUCUUUGUUGAUCUUUCCUCUGUUAAACCAAAUUAACUUUAUUAUUUUUUGUUUCUUCUUCGCUCCCUUUUGUUCGUCUGCUUUGGGUCCGAUUGGUGCAAUUCAGUGUGAAAAGUCUAUGACAAUUAAGGAUUAGAUGAUGUUCAGGUGCAUAAUAUCGUAAUAAGGAUUAGAUGAUGUUCAGGUGCACAAUAUCGUAAUAUCGUAGUUGCUCUCAACUCUCAAUCCUCUGGUGGCUGUGGGUAGAGAGACCGUACUGUAUAGAUUGAAGCCUGCCGCCAAGUAUAGAAUUUCCACAUCGAUGUGGAAGUUCAGGGCAGGAAUAAGAGAGUUUCAUCAGGAGAUGAUGUUUUAGGUUUUUGUUGGCCACUGAGGCACCACAAUCGUUGAUGCAGCUUUCCGGGCUCGCAGAGCUUGCAGAUGGGAGCCUGUUCUUCUCUUUUAGCAAGUCCACACCCUCCGCCGAUGCUGCAGCUCAACCAAGGAUACAGCACAGUGAAAGUGCCAACGUAAAUGUACCGGCGCAGACCCCGAAACCUGAAGCUCUACCAACGAUACAGCAGAGCGAAAGUGCCAACGUGAAUGUACCGGCGCAGACCCCGACACCUGAAGCUCUACCAACGAUACAGCAGAGUAAAAGUGCCAACGUGAAUGUACCGGCGCAGACCCAGACACCUGAAGCUAUACCAACGAUACAGCAGAGUGAAAGUGCCAACGUGAAUGUACCAGCGCAGACCCCGACACUUGCAGCUCUAUCACAGCGACAUCCAUCGAGCUUCCGGAAGAAGUCCCCCAUUCCUGCUGCUCGUAGCCGGCGCACUGCUUCGAAAGCGGAAGUGGAUAC
rnacentral:lncRNA from 1 species